rnacentral:lncRNA from 1 species
UAGAAGUCAUAUGUUAAGGAUGGCAGAGCUGAAAGAUGGAAGAAUCCUGAAUCCCUGAACCACCCAUUGUAGGAGAGCCACCUGCCAAGUAGGAACACCUGUUUUGGGUUUUAAAUUCCUCGAGGUCUGAACAAGAACCACUGACGCAGAACGUGAAAACUAGAAGCGUUCAUUAGCGACCACCCUUUGUUUGACUGAUGAGGAAAUCAAGGCUGAUGGUGACUUUCUGAGAUGCUAUUUCUGGCAAUUGUGGUGGUAAAUCCUUCAACAUUUGGAUCACUGAGUUCUUCGAUUUUCUUCCUUCUCUUCAGAAAUUGAAGUUGUAAAAUUGUUUGAGAAGUUUUAUCAGUUCCUGGAUGCAUUUGAAUAACACUAACCAGAGGACCAAGUAAACUAUAUAGUUUGGAUGCAUUUGAAAACUACAUAUAUAGUUUGAAACUAC